rnacentral:rRNA from 1 species
AACACAUGCAAGUCGCACGAGAAAGUGGAGCAAUCCAUGAGUAAAGUGGCGCACGGGUGAGUAACACGUGACUAACCUACCCUCGAGUGGGGAAUAACUUCGGGAAACCGAGGCUAAUACCGCAUAACACUUACGAGUCAAAGCAGCAAUGCGCUUGAGGAGGGGGUCGCGGCAGAUUAGCUAGUUGGUGAGGUAAUGGCUCACCAAGGCGAUGAUCUGUAUCCGGCCUGAGAGGGCGCACGGACACACUGGAACUGAAACACGGUCCAGACUCCUACGGGAGGCAGCAGUGGGGAAUUUUGCGCAAUGGGGGAAACCCUGACGCAGCAACGCCGCGUGGAGGAUGAAAUCCCUUGGGAUGUAAACUCCUUUCGAUCGGGACGAUUAUGACGGUACCGGAAGAAGAAGCCCCGGCUAACUUCGUGCCAGCAGCCGCGGUAAUACGAGGGGGGCGAGCGUNGUUCGGAAUUAUUGGGCGUAAAGGGUGCGUAGGCGGUUUGAUAAGUCAUCUGUGAAAUCUCUGGGCUCAACCCAGAGUCUGCAGGCGAAACUGUCGGGCUUGA